rnacentral:rRNA from 1 species
UCGGUAAUUCCAGCUCCAAUAGCAUAUAUUAAAGUUGUUGCAGUUAAAAAGCUCGUAGUUGAACUUCGGGCCUGGCCGGGUGGUCCGCCUAACGGUGUUGUACUGUCUGGCCGGGCCUUACCUCUUGGUGAGCCGGCGUGCCCUUCACUGGGUGCGUUGGGGAACCAGGACUUUUACCUUGAGAAAAUUAGAGUGUUCAAAGCAGGCCUAUGCCCGAAUACAUUAGCAUGGAAUAAUGAAAUAGGACGCGCAGUUCUAUUUUGUUGGCUUCUAGAGUCGCUGUAAUGACUAAUAGGGACAGUUGGGGGCAUUAGUAUUUGGUUGCCAGAGGUGAAAUUCUCGGAUUUACCGAAGACUAACUAUUGCAAAAGCAUUUGCCAAGGAUGUUUUCAUUAAUCAAGAACGAAGGUUAGGGGAUUGAAAACAAUCAGAUACUGUUGUAGUCUUAACAGAAAACUAUGCCGACUAGGGAUCGGGCGACCUCAAUUUGAUGUGUUGCUUGGCACCUUACAAGAAAUCAAAGUCUUUGGGUUCUGGGGGGAGUAUGGUCGCAAGGCUGAAACUUAAAGGAAUUGACGGAAGGGCACCACCAAGAGUAAACAACAUUCACAGCUUAGCCGCAGUGACUCUGCUCCGAGCAGCAGCCUGAAAGGGUGAGGUGGUGUUUUUUAUAAAUUUAAAUGCUAGUCCACAAUGUAAAGUGGGCGACACCCUCAAAUUGAUGGGGAACUCCUAAAGCUUCAGACACCAAGCUCUGUGAAGAAAUUCCAGGGUGGCCAGGUUAAUAGCCUCGGGUAUGGUAAAAGUUCUGAAGAUGCAACAAUGGAUGAUCCGCAGCCAAGGCUCUAAGUUGUGUAUGCUAAGCAUAUGCGAUAAGAGACAGGUUCAGAGACUAGAUGGGGGUGGGUUACUCUUC